rnacentral:rRNA from 1 species
AACGCGAAGAACCUUACCAAGGCUUGACAUACACCGGAAAGCAUUAGAGAUAGUGCCCCCCUUGUGGUCGGUGUACAGGUGGUGCAUGGCUGUCGUCAGCUCGUGUCGUGAGAUGUUGGGUUAAGUCCCGCAACGAGCGCAACCCUUGUUCUGUGUUGCCAGCAUGCCCUUCGGGGUGAUGGGGACUCACAGGAGACUGCCGGGGUCAACUCGGAGGAAGGUGGGGACGACGUCAAGUCAUCAUGCCCCUUAUGUCUUGGGCUGCACACGUGCUACAAUGGCAGGUACAAAGAGCUGCGAAGCCGUGAGGCGGAGCGAAUCUCAAAAAGCCUGUCUCAGUUCGGAUUGGGGUCUGCAACUCGACCCCAUGAAGUCGGAGUUGCUAGUAAUCGCAGAUCAGCAUUGCUGCGGUGAAUACGUUCCCGGGCCUUGUACACACCG